rnacentral:rRNA from 1 species
UUGACCUCAAUCAGGUAGGGAUACCCGCUGAACUUAAGCAUAUCAAUAAGCGGAGGAAAAGAAACCAACCGGGAUUACCUCAUAACGGCGAUGAAGCGGUAACAGCUCAAAUUUGAAAUCUGGCUCCCUGCGGAGUCCGAGUUGUAAUUUGUAGAAGAUGCUUUGGGUGCGUGGCCCGGCCUAAGUUCCUUGGAACAGGACGUCGUAGAGGGUGAGAAUCCCGUAUGCGGCCGGGGCGCCUGCCCGUGUAAAGCUCUUUCGACGAGUCGAGUUGUUUGGGAAUGCAGCUCAAAAUGGGUGGUAAAUUUCAUCUAAAGCUAAAUAUGGGCCAGAGACCGAUAGCGCACAAGUAGAGUGAUCGAAAGAUGAAAAGCACUUUGGAAAGAGAGUUAAACAGUACGUGAAAUUGUUGAAAGGGAAGCGCUUGCAACCAGACUUGGGCGUCGCUGAUCAUCCAAAGUUUUCUUUGGUGCACUCGGCGAGGCACAGGCCAGCAUCGGUUGGGGUGGUGGGAGAAAGGUCGUGGGAACGUAGCUCCUUUCGGGGAGUGUUAUAGCCUGCGGCGCAAUACCACCUACUCCGACCGAGGACCGCGCUUCGGCUAGGAUGCUGGCGUAAUGGUUGUAAGCGACCCGUCUUGAAACACGGACCAAGGAGUCUAACAUCUAUGCGAGUGUUUGGGUGCAAAACCCAUACGCGUAAUGAAAGUGAACGUAGGUGAGAACCCUUCGAGGGGGCAUCAUCGACCGAUCCUGAUGUC